AUCAUCGACAAUAUUUAGCCUGAUUGAGGCUUUAAUAGUUAGGUGUGCUGCUGGACAUUUAACGUGGGGGCUAAAGUUUAAAAACUGUGGUGUAAGUAGAAACUAUGCUAAAAUGUAAAAAAUGUGUCCCUUCACUAAGAUUUAAUGUAUCAAGGCAAUGCUUAUGAACAGUAAAAUAUACGAUUACUUGUUGACACGAAUUGUUUAUAAUUUUGAUUUAAUGUAGAUUUUCUUAUUGAAAGAUUUUAUAUAAAUUAUAAACCAUUACUUUUGUCGUAUAGUUGUCUUAAAUUAAUUUUAACAUUUUACGUUCCUAAAACAUUAUUUGGCAUUGAGACACUAAAAUAUAAGUUUAUGUAAUGAAACAAUUUUGGUUUUGAUUUAAGUUUCUGUCUAUAACACAGUUUUAAACUUUAGCUCCAUGCCAUAAAUGGAGCCUCCGAUGUGUGGCCGGGAGCUAACUUGUGAGCUCGUUAACGGUUUUAGUUAUUGUUUUAUAUGUUACUGUUAUGGUAUCAUUUUAUAGUGCAUUCUAUUCUCUACAAUACUGUUUAUUUCGCUGUGUUUGUUGUGUUUGUAAUACUGUUAAGAGAGUAUUUACACAUUUUCAAAGUAAUUAAAGAAAACUAAAGUUCUACGCAGUGUUAAUCGCUAUAUUUAUUUUACCUUUAUUUAUGUUUUUUCAGAGUUAGAAAAUCAUACUACAAUGCUAUCCAUCAUCAGUUUAAUGGCAUGUACGUUGAAUAAUAAGUGAAAUUUAUAAAAAGAAAACAAAUAUAAAAUUAGAUAAUUUGAUUGGUAAUAUUUAGUAGAAAAUUAAAUAAAUUCAAGCUUGUUUGUAAUAAUUAUGAAAAAGAAAAAGCAAAAUUAUUAUAAAGUGUUGUACCACUCACCACUACCAUGGAGUGACAGGCCUGUCUCAUGGUGUCAACAGCAUUGCCAACUCAACUGCUUGAGCCUUUAUAUUAUUAGUAAACUUUUAUAGGUAGAUCAUUUGUAAUAAGCCCGUGAAUAAACAUUAACCUCUUUUACCAUGCCAGUGAUCAUUUUUUUUUUAAGGAAAGAUCAAGGUGAAAGUGACAAACUGUGAUCUCACACAGGCUAUACCAGGUUUAUCUUCCUAACUGGUCACAAACCCAGGGCUAGUUGUGCUGUUGGUGGGCCAUCGCUCCCAAUACUCAAAGAGUAAACUGUAGUUUGGAUGGUGGGACUUAAAGGAUUAAAAACCUGAAAUAUUUCCAUUCUUAUUUUCUUAAAAAAUUACAUAAAAAGCUCAUUUAAGUUCACUUAAUCCAAAAUACUACAUAUCCAAUUAAAUAUGAAAGCCAAAACCUACCGAAUUAAAAAUAUGAAUUGAAAUGUAGAAUUUAUAGUGUAUAAUGCUUUGACACUUGGCAGUAUAGGUGUAUGAUAUGGUGGGUAUGCUCAGGUCCGAUGGAGAGAGGAUUAGUUAGCAAGAUGGUCCUCUACUCCCUCUCUCCCAGGGGUAAACCUUUGCUGACUCACGAAGGUCACAAGUAUCACCUGAACAAGACAGCACCCAACGGUACCAAGUACUGGUGUUGCUGCAACAAGAAGUACUACAAGUGCCAUGGAACACUCGCCAUCAACAGGGAUAAUAUGGUGAAAUGUUGGGGAAGUGGGACACUACGACUAUAUGCACGACAGCCAGUCGAGGUUUGGUGUUGACGUUAGACGGUUGGCAAUACUACCACAACAAGAUUAGUGCUCAAGUUAACAUAGUGAUGUUUGUCUUUAGAAAUGUUGGGGAAGUGGGACACUACGACUAUAUGCACGACAGCCAGUCGAGGUUUGGUGUUGACGUUAGACGGCUGGCAAUACUACCACAACAAGAUUAGUGCUCAAGUUAACAUAGUGAUGUUUGUCUUUAGAAAUGUUGGGGAAGUGGGACACUACGACUAUAUGCACGACAGCCAGUCGAGGUUUGGUGUUGACGUUAGACGGUUGGCAAUACUACCACAACAAGAUUAGUGCUCAAGUUAACAUAGUGAUGUUUGUCUUUAGAAAUGUUGGGGAAGUGGGACACUUCGACUAUAUGCACGACAGCCAGUCGAGGUUUGGUGUUGACGUUAGACGGCUGGCAAUACUACCACAACAAGAUUAGUGCUCAAGUUAACAUAGUGAUGUUUGUCUUUAGAAAUGUUGGGGAAGUGGGACACUACGACUAUAUGCACGACAGCCAGUCGAGGUUUGGUGUUGACGUUAGACGGCUGGCAAUACUACCACAACAAGAUUAGUGCUCAAGUUAACAUAGUGAUGUUUGUCUUUAGAAAUGUUGGGGAAGUGGGACACUACGACAGCCAGUCGAGGUUUGGUGUUGACGGUAGACGGUUGGCAAUACUACCACAACAAGACCGCAGCGAAUGGCACACGCUACUACAACUGUAUAUACAAGCGGCGGCACAUGCUCAGGUGUCGGGGGACACUUGUGGUCGGGAGAGAUGAUUCGAUCAUCCGAAGAAGCCCUCACAGUUGUUCCACAAAGAGACAAGACCGGUCAAGUUCGUUGUGAACACAAAGCCUGAAACCUUGAAGCUUUGUUCACUUAUUUAUCUCAAAUCUCAAAAAUCUUGUCUUCAGGAUUUCAACAGACAAGAAUGAAUCGGGAGACUAGUAGGCCAAGUGUUUGGCCAAUUCAUUCAAAAUGUGAAAUAUAACUACUACAAAUUGACCCACAGCUACAUUUCAAUGUUAUAAGAAAUCUUUUCUAAUGAUUCAUGAAAAUGUAUGAAGAAAAUUAAUACCUAUCUCAUUUCAAGAAAGGAAAGAUGAUGGAGUCGAAGGUGCAUCCCCUGGUCAUAGGCACUCACUACUGUACUACCACUGCAUCUUCAAGUUCAAACUGUCAUCCAGGGAAGGAAGUCGUCUGCCUGUAAACAACAAUGUCCACGACAAUCGUUGAUCCCGUCACCUGUCAAGUGCGUUCUGUUAUAUGAUUCUUGUCUACAAAAGGAUUAUCGGCUGCUGAACUUCAUCGGGGGUUAUGCGUAAUUUAUGGACCGUCAGCUAUGAGUGCAGGAAAGGUUAGACAAUGACGUGGUGAUUUUUAAGAUGGCCGAACAAAUGUCCAUGACAAAGAGCGGAGUGGCCGGCCCAGUAUCCUGACUGAUGGAAUUGUUUCAUAAGUAGACCAAAAACUGUGAUCUGAUCGUCGAUUGAUGAUUAAUGGCCUGGCUGAAGAAUUCCUCAACUUGGACGCACUACUGUGUACAAUAUUGUAACAGAAAAUCUCAGAUACUCAAAAUUGUGUGCAAGGUGGGUACCAAAAAUGCUGACCAACCACAAAGAGUAAAGAAUGUCCAACGGAUGAGAGUUUUCUGGUCGUUACGAUCAAGGUGGAGAGGAUUUGUUUUCUCGCAUUUUUAAUGGGGACGAUACAUGGAUCCAUGUCAAUCCAGAGAUUAAACAGCAAUGACGACACUCAUCUUCACCAAAACCAAAAAAAGUUUAAACAAACUCUGUACACAAGUCAAACAUUGAUAGCUACCGUUUUUGGGACAUAAAGGGGUUCUUUUAGUAGAUGUUUUGGAAUGUGGGACAACAAUUACAGCUUAUGUGUACUGCAAAAAUAGCUGAACAAACUGAGACGCAAUCCAGAAACAAAUGACGCGGGUAACUGUCAUUCGGUUUAAUCCUCCCUCUCCAUAAUGUGCAUCCUCACAUUGCAGCAAAACUAUAGUCCUGACCUUGCAACUAGCGACUACAUCAUGUUCUUGCACAUGAAAUGGUGGUUCGGUGGACAAGUUUUUGAGACCGAAGAGGAACUAAGAAUGGUGUUUUGUAUUGGUUCAACUCUCAGGUGGCGAACUUCUGUGCAGAGGUGUUAAAGAAGCUGGUGCAGUGGUACGAAAAAUGCUUACAAGUGAAAAGCAAUUAUGUAGAGAAGUGAAGUAGGUUUAUAGCUUACUAAAUAUGCUAAUAAAAUGUGUUUCUUAUGAAUUUAUUUUUUCCUGUGACCAAACAGCCUAUACUUAAGAAUAUGCCUUAUAUAUGCGUAUCAGACUGUAUAAGAUACCGUCCUGUGUCACUUUGCCUCACAAGCUUUCAGUCCUUCAUACUUAGAGCUAAUAGUUACUGUGUAUUAAUAUUUUAUUUGUAUUGCUAUAGGCCAAUUUAUUGAUUACGUAAUAAGAUUUUAAAACAGAUGAUCGUGAUACAAAAAAUUAACUACAUUUCACAAUGAGUGAAGUCAAUAAAAUAAUUUCAUAUUAUUAUACAAAUUGAAUUUUAUUUACCUGGCUAUAUGAUAAAGGUUCUCUUUUUAUUCUUGGGCAUAUACAUAAAUUAGUUUCUAUGUUAAAUGGUUUUCAUUACAAAGUCUAUUGUAACUAAGAAUGUUAUUUAAUGGUCAAUAAAGAUCUUGAAUGUUUCUUGUGUCGAUAAUGUGAAGGUCACCAGGAUGUUGAUUAUGCCCUGAACUUUCAUGUUAAACCUUCAUAAUUUGUCAGCCAUCAAUUCAACCAGAAACUUCUUGGGUUGCUUCCUCAAGUUCUACAUAGACAUCUACAUAUACAACAAGGGUUACAUAUGUGUAUUCCAAAUAAUAAUGAGCCUGUGACUAAAUUUUAGUUUUUGGUUGACAAUGUUGUCCCAUAGAUGACGAUUUAUUGUGAGACGAAUGCGAUACCUCCCAUGCUGAUUCUAAAUCCGGUAUAUGUAUGACCAUCUUGGAUAGAAAGAAAUAUUGAUUAGAAUUAUUGAAAUAUUGAAUUAUUGAUUAGAAAUACAGUGAUUAUACAGAAUUUUAAAAUCUCUUUUUAUUCCUAUUUCAAACUCUUUUUAUACAAGAACAUGAAAAUGUCAGAACUAUAAUUUAUUGGAGAAAAGAAGAAAUUUUUAAGACUUGUUUUUGUGAUUACUUCUCCUGUUUGUGUUGAUUCUACUGCUGUGGCUAAAGUUUUAAAAUAAGAUUGCCACUCAUGGUGAUAAUCUCAGUAAAGCCAAAAAUCUGGCAUUUUAUCGAGAACAUUUCACUAUUGUAAAAUUCAAGAAAUUAAUUGUUUUUAUGAGUCUAUGAGUUUGUGGAAGAAAGACACCAAUAUUGACCUCUACAGUAGCUUAUGGGUAAGGCUUUGACUACUUUUGGAUUUAAUACCCAAAAUUAGAAUUUCAUUGGUAUAGCAAGAAAUAAAACAUCCAGUUUCGUACCUAUGCUGGGACUUUAUAUGUAUUGUGAGAUGAGGCAUACAAAGUCAAAGUAGAUGUACAUUCCACGGUAGAAAAAUUAUAUUUAAAUUCUGUUAUUACACGUGUUAAUGAACAAACCUCUGAUUAUAAAGUGUACAAGAUUCCUUUAGUCUUGUUGUAAAGAACUAACAGUCAUGUGUGUAUUUUACUAUUUUUUUUUAUUAUGAAUCUGUUAAGAUUCAAUUACUUUAUAUUAUGCUGUUGAGGCAACCACAGUAACUCGGACAGAAGAUUCUAACAUAACUUAAUUUUAGUUACGAAGCUACUUUUCCUAGACUACAGGGUCUACAGUAGAAAGAGUACACUAUAGUAAAGAUGUCUAGAGUACCAUUUUCAGUUGAAAUUAGUCAAACUUUUUUAUUUGUGAAUGACAUAAAAAAAGAGUUUAAUCUUUUUUUAAUGACCAACUUUUUAACAAUCUAACUUUGCUAGAUGGUAUUAAAUUUGUCUUUACAGGUACUUUGUAUAAAGGGAAUUUGUGUAUUCAAUAUUUAAAUAUUUUAUAUAUUUGCAACUUUUUCAUAGAUUUUUUAAAAUUAUUUGGUUUUGUAGGUUUUUAUUAGUGAUAAAAAUUGAUUUCUUGCUAAAAAGAUUAUAUUUGUUGUAUAAAAUAGUAUUUAUAUCUCAAUUAUGAUGCUUAUUUAUCCAUCUAUCUAUCUAUAUAUGAAUAUUUGCCUGUAUGUCCUUUAUAGAAUCGUAAACUAUGUGACCGAUCAUUAUGAACAUUUGUAUGUAUUUUUCUAAGGAGAAGGUUUAUAUGCUAUGCCCAUUGAUGUCAUUCACCACCAGUCGACACUGUAAUGUUAAAGUACCUGCACAUUACAAACUCCAAUUACAAGCCAGUUAUGUGUAUUAAACAGCCAAACACUAUAUGGAAGCGCUAAGUUAUAAUUGAUAUUUGUCUUUAAAAUUAAUUUCAUGUUGAAAUUGAAGCUUGAGUGUUAUUCCACUUUAUAAUGAAGUACAUUUACAUAUACAGUACACUUUAGACAGAUUUUCCUGAGUGUGACAUCAAGGCAAACUCUACAUCAGUGUUGGAAGCAUGUGAAGCUGCAGGAAACAGCUAGUAUUACUAUAAAUGGUACCUAAUAUCUACAGUAUGUAUUUUUGUCUCCACAAUAUACAUAAUAUAAGCUAGUUGUUAAAAAUGAAAAAGAUGCAUAGGCUACAUGUGAUUGUAUUUUAUCUUGUUUAUUAUGUAUUGUUAUAAAUUAUAGUGUACUUUUGAAGUUCUCAAGUGAUGGAAGUUCUGAUCAAUAAAAAAAGUUUGUUAAUCUAAACUAUUGACAAGUGAUGCUGUAUAACUUUGUUCCUGUAGCAUAAUUCUAUUAUGUAAGAGUAAUUAUAAGUAUAUUUUUGUAAAUGUGUUUUAGUAUUGUUAAUUUCUUUACACAGUAAAGAUUUUAUAAGAGUGAAA